rnacentral:rRNA from 1 species
UUCCGGUUGAUCCUGCCGGACCUGACUGCUAUCGGAUUGAUACUAAGCCAUGCGAGUCUUUGUAGCAAUACAAGGCAGACGGCUCAGUAACACGUAGUCAAUCUACCCUAUAGACGGGGAUAACCUCGGGAAACUGAGAAUAAUACCCGAUAGGUCAUUAUGCCUGGAAUGGUUUAUGAUUAAGAUGAUUUUUCGCUGUAGGAUGGGACUGCGGUCUAUCAGCUUGUUGGUGAGGUAAUGGCCCACCAAGGCUAUUACAGAUACGGGCUCUGAGAGGAGAGGCCCGGAGAUGGGUACUGAGACACGGACCCAGGCCCUAUGGGGCGCAGCAGGCGAGAAAACUUUGCAAUGUGCGAAAGCACGACAAGGUUAAUCCGAGUGUUUUCUGUUUAAGAAAUCUUUUGUCAGUCCUAGAAACACUAACGAAUAAGGGGUGGGCAAGUUCUGGUGUCAGCCGCCGCGGUAAAACCAGCACCUCAAGUGGUCAGGAUGAUUAUUGGGCCUAAAGCAUCCGUAGCCUGCUUUGUAAGUUUUCGGUUAAAUCCAUAUGCUCAACAUAUGGGCUGCCGGGAAUACUGCACAGCUAGGGAGUGGGAGAGGUAGACGGUACUCGGUAGGAAGGGGUAAAAUCCUUUGAUCUAUUGAUGACCACCUGUGGCGAAGGCGGUCUACCAGAACACGUCCGACGGUGAGGGAUGAAAGCUGGGGGAGCAAACCGGAUUAGAUACCCGGGUAGCCCCAGCUGUAAACUAUGCAAACUCGGUGAUGCGUUGGCUUGUAGCUAGCGCAGUGCCGCAGGGAAGCCGUUAAGUUUGCCGCCUGGGAAGUACGUGCGCAAGUAUGAAACUUAAAGGAAUUGGCGGGGGAGCACCACAAGGGGUGAAGCCUGCGGUUCAAUUGGAGUCAACGCCAGAAAUCUUACCCGGAGAGACAGCAGAAUGAAGGUCAAGCUGAAGACUUUACCAGACAAGCUGAGAGGUGGUGCAUGGCCGUCGCCAGCUCGUGCCGUGAGGUGUCCUGUUAAGUCAGGCAACGAGCGAGACCCA